CUUCUGCCUCCUGAAAGUUGGAAUUAAAGGUGAAUAAAGAACUGUUAACUUUUAGAAGAUAGAAAUUAAGAAGUCAGUUGGCUUCCCUAGUUAUGACUAGGCCAAUGAACCUAGAUGGUUACUUUCACAAGAAAUGACCCUUGGUAAAAGCUCUUGCCUAAACUGUGGGCCGUGUUGCCUGCAAUUGUGAUCUACUUUAUAUGGAAGGUGGGGAAAGAAAAGUGGGAGUCUUGAAAGUAAAGAUUAAAUGCUGUCACUGCUGGGCCUGGCAGCUCACACUAGUGUUCAGGAGGUAGAGGCAAAGAGAACUGCAGGUUUGAGUCCGGCUACAUAGUUGAGACUAUCUCAAACAUGGACUGCUCUCCUUCCCCACAGAUCUGCCGGCUGUGUUUUGUUUGGGUAUAUUAUGAGGAGGAAAUAGUGUUUCCUAGCCUUAGGUUUCAACCUAACCUGUUCGCAUUUCUUCCACAUCCCCCUCUUCUAGAAAGUGAAUGAUUGAGUCACACUAAAAACAGGCAUACUACCUAGUUUUGUGACUGUACCAUAGUAUUUAGUGCUGUGCCCAUUCAAAUACUGGUUGUUUGCAACAUCCCCAAACCAGGCAUCUUGCACAUGCUCUUUGAGCGUGUAAUAAUACUACUCUAGACUGGUGCUUCCAGAAAUGGGACGACUGGGUCCUGAGCGUUUGCAGUUGGUGCCAAGCAUUAUAUUACAGAUGCACAGAUGGAUACCACAGGCCAGAAUGUCUCCAUCUCCCCACUCCUCAUCAGCCCUCAGUACUGCCUACCUUGUGUUUUGCCAGAGAUGCAAGCAAUUCUCUAGUAUCUGCAGAGUUUGGAUUUCUCAUUCCGUGUAAAAAUGCAUGUUGGCCAUCUGAGUUUCUUUUCUGAAGUCAGUUCUCGGGUCCUGAUGCCACUGAUCUUUUGAGUCUGUCUUUCUCGUUUGACGUUUUAACAUGAUUACUAGCUGUGUUGUGUGAGCGCACACUCUCCCAGUCUGUUUGAAAUCUCCAUUUAGCUUUGCAUAUUGAGCCUCUCACAAUUAGCAUUUCCCUUUAGUUUCUAUGAGAUCAUCCCACAUAUGAUUCCUGAUGUUUAAGUGUUUUUAUUGUUUGGUUGGGUUUCUGUCUGUUGAGACAUAGUUUUCCUCUGUGGCUAUGAACUCAGCUUUGUAGCCUAGCCUGGCCUCAAGCUCAGGACAGUUCUGGGAGUUGUUGACUGCCUCACUCUUGAGUGGUUUUUCUGUUUUGUUUUUUCCUCUUGCCUAGUUUUAUAUUUCUAGCUUUCAGAAAUAUAGUCUAUGAUGCCAGUGGCUAUACUCACUGUCGACAAGGCUUCACCGUUGCCCAGCCUCUCCACGUGUCACCGUUGCUCUGAUGAGUCUUGAGUGCCACAGUGGGAAAGUGGAUGGGGAGCUGUCUUAGGUUACAGAGGAAACCUUGACAGCAGACAGGAAGAUACCUCCUUCCUCUUGCCAUUUUAAGAGGAUUUUUCUUUUUCUUUUUUUCUCUCUAUGUAUAUACAUCUUUUGAUUUUUUUGAUCCAUAGUAUUGAUAAUUUCCUUUUCACAGAGUUGUACCAAUGCCAUGCCCUUUGUCAAACACUGAUGACCCAGCACAUGUGUCUGCUUCUACUACCUACUGAUACCCUGUUGCCUUUUGUCUAAACUCUUACAAAGGCUACACUGUUGGUUACUGUAGCUCCAGUGCGGAGUUCUGGCCAGAAUGUACUCUCUUCAUUUUACUUGAAUUUGGUUCUUUUUAGUGAAAGUGGAAUUAAACUGUACUCUUGUAAAUAGGUCCAUUCUGGAAUGUGAAGUGGGUAACUCCUUAUGGUAAUGACUUUUCUUCUGUAUACAUGUUAUGUAUGUGGGGGCUGCGUGCUGAUGCCACAGUAAGCUCUCAUUUCACCAUGUGUGUCCCAGGGAUCAGACUCAUGUUGUCAGUCUUAAUGGCAAGCUUUUUGACCUGCUGAGCCAUCUUGCCAGCCUGUUUGUUAUAUACUUUUGAACUAUAAUUCAUUCAUUAUAUUGCUCAUUUAAUUUCAUCUACCACAUGGUCCCCUUUUUUCCUUAUGCAAGUUCAGUAGUAAAACUCAGUCUUAAUAAUUAUUCAAAGUUUAGAUAUUUAUGAUUUUGUAUUUUGACUUUUAAGUCCCACUCCUUAAUUGUCUUCAGGUCAAGUAUUCCACCCUAACCCCAGCUGGUACAUAUGUCAGUUCCUUUGAAGUGACUGUCUCUAGACUUUUCCUAAUUUAAGGCACAUUACCAAGGAAGACUAACCAUGUAGCGUACCCGUAUCCCCAGCACAGAUCUUGAGUCGCUUGAUAGAAAGGAGGAAAGGCUGGACUGAAGCAGUUCUGAUGCUGUGCUUUUCCCAAAUAUGUCUAGGGUUGGGGAGCUGAAAGAAACAUGUCAUUAAAUGGUAUCUUAAAGUUAAAUGUAUUACAAACUGCUUUUUAAGUAUCCUGCAAUCUCUGAAUUUUGAAGCAUCCGUCUGUCAGUAGCAUUGUAACUGUCGUUAGCAAAGCUGUCACGAUGUAUGGCUGCGCCCACUUGAUCAGUCUUGUUCCUGUUUCAGUUCAGAACUGAGGGCUGUAUACUGUUUGGACUACAUUUGUUACAGUCAAGUGCUGUGUAAAAUUAUUUCUGAAGGAAUACCCUGACUUGGCAUUCAAGUCAAAGUCUAAGGCUUAGUAGCCACUUGCAGUGGUGUGAAGUGAGUUUUAGUAAAGCCUCACUCCAUAGCUGAGCUGUCGUUUUUCUUUAUGAUACACAAUGCAUGUAAUGUUAGCAUUGGACGGAGUCUCAGGAGGACAGCCUGCAGCUGAGUCAUGUAGACGUAAGUCCAGAAGCCGUGCAGGUGGACUGGAGAAGGCUGGCUGUUUAUGUGGAGACAAACUUGCUGUGUGUCUUCACCUGUGUCUCAGCCUCCCAUGCCAUGGGAUUACAGGCAUAUGCCACUGUCCUAGCUGGAAAAGACAUCCCAACAUUAGCACAUGAGGUUGGGUAGCAGUUAUAAAGCGAGUGAGUGUUGUGUUCUGUAAUUUUCUUUUUUCAGUUCAAACUCAUUUCCCUUUUAUUAUAAAAGUCUUAAGUUGCUGUUAAUGUGGUUUUAUACUGAGGGACAGCAUGUUCAAAUAAAAUGUUGCCGAGUAUCUUAUCUGUUUUAGUCAAGUACCAGUAAGUCCUAGGGAAGCUCAGUAAUACGAGUUUGCACUUUGUUGAUACACAAUUCCUUUUGGGUGAAGAUUCCAAGUUCAUUUAAAGUGGAUCCAAUUUUCUGUCCAUGUACUGGGAUUUUUUUUUUAAAAAAGGCAUUUGAAUGAAAACAAAAUAAGAAACAAAAUCAAUUAAAUGGUUCGGAAUCUUCUAGUGAAGGUGUCAAUUUAUACAUGGGUAGUAUACAAGAGGGUCCUUUUUUCUCACUUUCCCAUUUUGCAUAUUUUCAGUUUGGUGAGUGAAUAUCAAAUGGUAUUUUUGUGGUUUAAGUCUCAAUUAUUAGAUAAUAUAAUGUGAACUUUUAGUCUCAUAUUUGUCCAAGUAUAUCUUUAACUUUGCUUAUAUAGUCUAUUAAUAAUCAGUUUUUUACAUUUAGGAAGUUAACCUUAGUCUUAACAUAGCUAUGAAUUAUUCCCUCCACCACACUGAUGCUGCUUAUGGUUUGUGCAGGAUAAUGAGGGGCGGAGCUAAGAGCAAAGGUUACCUGUCCUUCAGGAGUAACUGAAUUCCUAAGAUGAGCAUGGUGUUGCAGCAUCCUCUAGACCUUAAGUCAUGCUGUGGUUUUCCUUUUGCUUGGGUAGCUUUCCCUCAAGCAGAGGAAGGGCUUUGAGCUCUACUGCAGAGAAGAGCUGAGAGGUGCAGAGCCGAGCAUACCCUGAGGUUCUGUUCAAACUGGGUGAUGCUUUUUUGAUGUCACUCUGAAGGUUUUUAAGUAGUUUAGUUUACAUAGACUGCAAAGAUCUUACAUGUUAAACUUGAACUUUAAGGAGUCGUUGAUAUGCAAAAGUUUAGAAUGUUAUCAUUUUCUUCAACAGUUUUACCAACCUUCAAUUCCAUACAAUGACAAUGUUUUCCUAUUAUGAAUGGCAGACUUGAGCACGUCUAUUUGUAAAGCCAGCUGAGAACUCUGGUGACAAAGCAGAGGCUGAUCGACCUACCAAGAGCCCGGAAGUACAAAGAAGAACAAAAAAGUCUUGUCCUGUUUUUGUAAACUUGAAAGAAAAAAAGAGUCGAGCAUUCCACCAGUGCAGUCUGUUCUGCUAUGAGCUUUAAUCUAGCCCAUGAGAGGAGGCGGAGGAGAACUUCCACCUUGCCCUGCCAACCUAGCCUUUCCAUGUUCAUGCAAUAAACGCAUUUGGCCUCUUGGUA